rnacentral:rRNA from 1 species
UACGUAGGUGGCGAGCGUUGUCCGGAUUUAUUGGGCGUAAAGCGCGCGCAGGCGGUGCUGUAAGGCUGUCGUGAAAUCUCCCGGCUCAACUGGGAGGGUGCGGUGGAGACUGCCGGACUGGAGGCACUCAGAGGCCGGUGGAAUUCCCGGUGUAGUGGUGAAAUGCGUAGAGAUCGGGAGGAACACCAGUGGCGAAGGCGGCCGGCUGGGGGUGACCUGACGCUGAGGCGCGAAAGCGUGGGGAGCGAACCGG